GACGAACGCUGGCGGCGUGCUUAACACAUGCAAGUCGAACGAUGAAGCCUAGCUUGCUAGGUGGAUUAGUGGCGAACGGGUGAGUAAUACGUGAGUAACCUACCUUUAACUCUGGGAUAAGCCUGGGAAACUGGGUCUAAUACCGGAUACGACCAAUCUCCGCAUGGGGUGUUGGUGGAAAGCGUUAUGUAGUGGUUAUAGAUGGGCUCACGGCCUAUCAGCUUGUUGGUGAGGUAACGGCUCACCAAGGCGACGACGGGUAGCCGGCCUGAGAGGGUGACCGGCCACACUGGGACUGAGACACGGCCCAGAAGCCUACGGGAGGCAGCAGUGGGGAAUAUUGCACAAUGGGCGCAAGCCUGAUGCAGCGACGCCGCGUGAGGGAUGACGGCCUUCGGGUUGUAAACCUCUGUUAGCAGGGAAGAAGAGAAAUUGACGGUACCUGCAGAGAAAGCGCCGGCUAACUACGUG
rnacentral:rRNA from 1 species